rnacentral:lncRNA from 1 species
UUCAUAAAAGUUGUGCUAGAAUUUCAUGUAUGAAUCCACCAAGCCUCACAUUAGAUAGAAAAGAAAAGUAGAACAUCAUAUAAAAUUCUUCGUGUAGUCAGUGAACUUCCUCUUGGAUAAAAGUUGUGUGGGUAUUGGUUUAAGCAUAGAAUAUAGUUGAAGUUAAGUAUGGGAAGUUUUGGUUGAAGUGGUUGAAUGUGUGCUUGUGAAUGGAUGUUAUUGAUGUCCUAGAAAUUAGCAUGGGGUUUGGCAUUGAGAAAGACAGAAAUGGGAGGACAGAUGACUAAAAGGCCGGACAUACCGUAUAUGAUAAGGGUGAUUGAAUAUUAUUAAUAAGAUGGGCAUGGGAAACAAUGGUAAAGGUAAAGAAGGAAGGUGGUGCAGGUUAAACCUAAAUAGUGGUGCGCAUUGAAUAUACUUUAUGUCUUAUUACACAUAUGUUAUCUAGUGGUCAUGGCUUAGGCAGGGCCACAUGGGAAGCCCUGCAUUGUUGAGACACUGAUUUCUGAGUGCAUUAACCAUUGCGUCCAAGUUCUAGGCCAAAGCCAACCGUCAACACUGCUACAUCAUAUUACAUGGUCCAAAGGAAUCUAAAUGCUACAUCUCUCUAUCACUGGAUUGAACAUGGAACUAUAAUGCUGGAAUUCAU